GAAAUGCGAUAAGUAAUGUGAAUUGCAGAAUACUGUGAGUCAUCAAAUCCUUGAACGCAAAUUGCGCCUAUUGGCUCUCCAAUAGGCACGCCUGUUUGAGUGUCGUUUCCAUAAUCAAAAGAAAUUACCUGCUUGGUAAUUAUUUUGGAUGUUGAGUAUUCAAUUUGAGAAAAAAGAAUUGAUUACUUGAAAUGGAAAAGCGAGAUGGGAAUGUAUGUGGAUGGAACUUCUUGUGUGUUGGAAAACUUCACAACGGUUCUGAAAUCCUCCGUCACAUUACCAUCUGCCAGCAAAAAUAAGGAAACUAUUUUCUCUAAAUCGACCUCAAAUCAGGUGAGAUUACCCGCUGAACUUAA
rnacentral:misc_RNA from 1 species